AUUGAACGCUGGCGGCAGGCCUAACACAUGCAAGUCGAGCGGAUGAAGGGAGCUUGCUCCUGGACUCAGCGGCGGACGGGUGAGUAAUGCCUAGGAAUCUGCCUGGUCGUGGGGGAUAACGUCCGGAAACGGGCGCUAAUACCGCAUACGUCCUGAGGGCGCAAGUGGGGGGUCUUCGGACCUCACGCUUUCAGAUGAGCCUAGGUCGGUUUAGCUAGUUGGUGGGGUAACGGCCUACCAAGGCGACGAUCCGUAACUGGUCUGAGAGGAAGAUCAGUCACACGGUAAGAGAGACAGGGUCGAGACUCCGAGAGGAAGAAGCGGUGGGGAAUAUUAGACGAUGCGGGAGAGCGUGAUACUGGCAUGUGGCGUGUGUGAAGAAGGUGUUAUGAUGGGAGAGCACUGAAAGUUGGGGGGAAGUGCAGUAAGUUUAUACCUGACUAUAUUGACGUUACCAACAGAAUAAGCACCGGCUAACUUCGUG
rnacentral:rRNA from 1 species